UUCUCUUCUUCUCUAUUCUGCUACUGUCCCAAGCAAUAUACUCUUAAUCCCAUCUCUACAUAAAAUGUCCAAAAUCACCACUCCCAAAUGCUACUUGCUCAUUCACUCACAACCACCAGAACUCCAGGUUCCCCCGGCUUCUGAAAUCCUGUUUCCUUUUGGCUUCUUUUCUCUUGCUCAUAGAACCUUCUUGUUAUUUUCUGCUCACAGUUUUUGUGUGUGAGCCUCCACUGCUAGUUUUCUCUUCCCUGUCCGUUCUCCAGUCCACAGGUCCUUCUUUUGGUUUUACUUAUCUUCUUGUUUCAUAACGAUUUGCUAAUCAGCCAUUUCAAGAAAGUUCCGCACAGCAAGCUCCUCUUACUGCAUCUGUUCCCAGCCCUCCUCCUCACUCUUCCUUCCCAGCUGCUCAGAGCAGAGUUGAAUAGGAAAAUAAAAAGUGCAGAGUGGCUCGAGCUCCACUGGUAUAGACACAAAAACGCCCUCCAACGUGAACUUUUCUCUGCCUAAAUCCAGAGUAUUGUUUGAUAAUUCUAAUUCAGCGAACCAAUUAGGUGAACAAUGCUUCGCAAAACUAAGAGAGCUAUAAAGCUCCCUGCAAGCGUCAUGUGCAAACAUCCGCUCUCCUUUUGCACGCCCAGGGCUUCAGCUGAAUCGCUCUGGAGGAACCGAAGAGGUGUUUCAAGCAAAGAAUGCCAGGUGGGUCUUCAAGGUCAAAGAACAGAGCCCUAAAGAGAUGAACCUGACUCAAGAAACCUCGAUUUAUCAAUACCGCCCAAGUCCAGCUGAAAACUUCAUCGGGGUUGUGAGGAGCAAUUAAGACUGGAAGGAAGAUGAAGUUAAGCUGAGAAACCCCCCCCCCCCCUCAGCUGCAUCGAAGUUUUUGCACCCGUCUGCCCUCACAGGACCCUCACACCCAACUUCUCGGACCCCGUGGCCCAGGGCGGACUACAACUCCCGGCGUGCCGCGCGCCAGCUCCUGGUGGGCGCGUUGCUGCCACCGAGCUCCGCGCGGGAGUUCUGUGGAGAAUGGGAGGCCACCUGAUCCUGCAGAUUGGGCUGUGAUGGAUGUCGUCAAUUAUUUCCGGACAGCUGGAUUUGAGGAGCAAGCUAGUGUUUUUCAAGAACAGCAGGGACAUCCAUUUUCUUCUGAACUGGAUGCUGGUGUUCCUGCUUCUUUGGAUUUCUGGACUCCUUUUUAUUGAAGUAUAUUUAUUACUUACCACAAUGUAAUUUUGGAGUAUUUUCACUUGUUGUGUCUUCAGUUUCAUUCCAUGAUGGUCUAAGAAAAGGCAUGGAAAUGUUCUGUUUCACUGUGACACAGUCUACUGGAGGCUCUGUCGUUAUCAACUGGCAGGUUGUAAACUCAUCUAUACAUUGACACCCAGUUGAUGUAUGGAGAAAAAGCAAGGAAGAACCCACAUAAGUGAUUCUGUGGUCCAGGCCUGGAAAAGAAAUGGAUACAAGAUCUUUUCUGCAGUACAACCCCUUUACCACUCACCUGUUCCAGCAGCAUUUAUUCAGUAGCAGAGAGAUGCUCGUGAAGCCAUUGAAAGCAUUAGCCCUCACAGUAAGCCAGAAUGCCAUUUCAGUCUAACUGCAAGUCUCUUUUGAAUCAUGGCUAUUGCAUUAAUAAAUUUAGUAAAACUUGUUAGUCACACAAAUACAUGAAUACUUCAAAGUAUUCAUGAAGAGAUAAGCAUUUGGCACGACAAUUUUGACACCAAUUGGGGCAUCUGUAUCCCAUGUCCUAGUACCUGGUUCAAGUCUUGGCUCAGCUUCCUAUUUCAACUUCCUGCUAAUGCAUGCCUGGGAGGCAGCAGAUGAUGGCUAAAGUGGGAGAUCUGGAUUGAGUUCCAGGUUCCUGGCUUCAGCCUGACCCAGCCCCAGCUGUUGUAUUCACUUGGAAAGUAAACUGGUAGAUGGAUGAUACCUCUUUUUCUUUCUAUCCUUGUGUCUUUCAAAUACAGUGGAAAUAAA